GACGAACGCUGGCGGCGUGCUUAACACAUGCAAGUCGAACGGUAAGGCCCUUCGGGGUACACGAGUGGCGAACGGGUGAGUAACACGUGGGUGAUCUGCCCUGCACUUCGGGAUAAGCCUGGGAAACUGGGUCUAAUACCGGAUAGGACCACUGCCUGCAUGGGGGGUGGUGGAAAGCUUUUGCGGUGUGGGAUGGGCCCGCGGCCUAUCAGCUUGUUGGUGGGGUGAUGGCCUACCAAGGCGACGACGGGUAGCCGGCCUGAGAGGGUGACCGGCGACACUGGGACUGAGAUACGGCCCAGACUCCUACGGGAGGCAGCAGUGGGGAAUAUUGCACAAUGGGCGCGAGCCUGAUGCAGCGACGCCGCGUGAGGGAUGACGGCCUUCGGGUUGUAAACCUCUUUCAGCACCGACGAAGCGCAAGUGACGGUAGGUGCAGAAGAAGGACCGGCCAACUACGUGCCAGCAGCCGCGGUAA
rnacentral:rRNA from 1 species